rnacentral:sRNA from 1 species
UCUCUUGCCCACCCGGAAACAGCCUCGCCCCGCCUACGCAGGACCCAACCGCGGCGACCAGACGUGCACUCCUCCAGUAGCGGCUGCACGUCGUGCCAAUGGCCCGCUAUGAGGAGCUGAACCAGUCGUACGAGAGGGGCUGAAGCACAUUAGUGAAGGAUGUGUGUUCAUCUACUGCCAAGUAGGAGAAAAGCCUUAUUGGAAAGAUCCAAAUAAUGACUUCAGAAAAAACUUGAAAGUAACAGCAGUGCCUACACUACUUAAGUAUGGAACACCUCAAAAACUGGUAGAAUCUGAGUGUCUUCAGGCCAACCUGGUGGAAAUGUUGUUCUCUGAAGAUUAAGAUUUUAGGAUGGCAAUCAUGUCUUGAUGUCCUGAUUUGUUCUAGUAU